UUAGAGAAGAAGCGUCUGGGAGU
rnacentral:piRNA from 1 species